rnacentral:rRNA from 1 species
CUACGGGAGGCAGCAGUAGGGAAUCUUCCGCAAUGGGCGAAAGCCUGACGGAGCAACGCCGCGUGAGUGAUGAAGGUCUUCGGAUCGUAAAACUCUGUUAUUAGGGAAGAACAUAUGUGUAAGUAACUGUGCACAUCUUGACGGUACCUAAUCAGAAAGCCACGGCUAACUACGUGCCAGCAGCCGCGGUAAUACGUAGGUGGCAAGCGUUAUCCGGAAUUACUGGGCGUAAAGCGCGCGUAGGUGGUUUGUUAAGUCUGAUGUGAAAUCCCACGGCUCAACCGGGGAGGGUCAUUGGAAACUGGAAAACUUGAGUGCGGAAGAGGAAAGUGGAAUUCCAUGUGUAGCGGUGAAAUGCGCAGAGAUAUGGAGGAACACCAGUGGCGAAGGCGACUUUCUGGUCUGUAACUGACGCUGAUGUGCGAAAGCGUGGGGAUCAAACAGGAUUAGAUACCCUGGUAGUCC